rnacentral:lncRNA from 1 species
GGGAUUUGUGGUUACACAUUUGUACGUGCACUCCAUUGUCAUAUAUAUGGACUGCAAAAUGUCAUUAUGUAGCACAUAAUUGUAUUUAAAAGCUGGGUGGGGGAAAGAGAUUGGAACAAAAUGGCCAAUGAUGUAGGAGGAAUACUGGGAAACGGGUCACAGAAGCCACAAAUGGAAAGCUCUCAAAAGAAGGGCUGCCACCACCUACUAGGUGCUGCUAAGAGCAUUCUUCUCCUGGUUAUCUUCUACUUAUGUUGUGUUAUUCAGUAUUUGGUAGGGACUCCUCUCUGACGCCCAAGUGCUCUAAAAAUAUCCACUCCUGUGUGUCCCUGUAGCUUCUUGCAUUUGCCAUCACCGCCUUCCUUAUAACAAUUUGUAAUUGCUUAGGUUCUACAUCUGUCUCCCUCUCUGUUCUUCACCACAAAGUUGCAAUCUCUGGGAGGAAAGGAUGUUGCCUGACUUAUUUGCAUCCCCAGUGUUGAGAAGAGUACCUGGUUCACAGCAGACUCUUAAAUUCGAUUUUGUAAGAUCAUGAGUCGAUCGCUGCAGGAAACAGGAGCUCAAAAAGAAAACAGUUGUGCAAAUAGGGUAAAACAGUAUCAUUACUAGGAUGUGUCAGUGCCUGCUGUUAAAGGUCUGCUAAAGAGAGUCUUUAGCAGGAGAGGUGGUGGUACAAAGGAGCGAAGAGAGUGAAUUUCAAGACUUUCAGUUCCCGAAGGGUAAGGACUCUGUGGUGAUGCUCUUUGCUUAACCGGUAAAUUUCCCGAGGUCGGGGAUCUUACUACGGUGUCUGGCACUCCAUGGGUGCUCAAUAAACUAAUGAAAAAAAAAAAAAAUCUCUGCAUCCCUAGCGCCUAUCUUAAUGCCUAGCACCUAGAAAGUGCUUAAGGAAAGGGCAGCAGAUGAAAGGGUAGCUGGGUUUCAGUAGACAAAGUAGGAGGACGACCGAAUCGCAGUAGAAGCUCGUUCACGUAAAGGGAGGUAGUGGGUUUCCAGACCUGUCGCCUCGCCACCUUUUCUGCCCUCCCCUGGCAUGCGUCCCUCCACCUGUCCACCACGCGUGCCCGGUCCGCGUGGCUAUCGCAGGAGAAUGUAACACGCCAGCCCCGGAUGCCUCGGAACGAGUCACUCCUUCCCGGCCUCAGGUCCACCCCCACCUGCUUACCAGCCGCCCAGCACCGCGGCUCCAGUUCCUCAGUACUCGCACUGCAGCCAUCUUAGUCCGGAAAUGCCCCCAGCACCGCCUGGGAUAGACGCCUCGGCCGGCGACCUAUCCCGAGGUGGGAGACGCGCCUUCCCUGAGCAGCCAAUCCCGAGCGGAGGAGCCAGCCGGUCGCCCCGCAGCCAACCCGAGAGAGGGGUGGGGCCGAGCCGGACCCGGCUGGGUGCCUAGAGCCUGCCCCCGGGAACUAGGGAGGAGGGCGGUGCAAAUUUAAUUCCGGAAGCAGAGUCUGGCAAGGUACUGUGUGUAAGUACAAGUGCACCAGUUCGUACUGUCAUGGGGGAAACGGUGGUGAGGGCACACGAAGAAGGGCAGUCACAAGGGGAAAGUCAAAGACCCGAGGGAUGAGCAGGAAAGUACGAUUCUUAGUGGUGAAUUUAACUCUCAUGAUUACAGAAAAAGGGAACAUUUCUAUACUUAGUAGCAAGACUCUGUACCACGACUUUCUUCACAAGUCCCUACUGGAACACUUUCCAAUGCCUUGUUGCUGCUGUUGUUAAUUUUUGAGACGGUCUUGCUAAAUUGAGGAGACUGACCUCAAACUUGCUAUUUUCCUGCCCCAGCCUCCCAAGUCAAGUUGCUGGGAUUACAGGCCUGCACCACUGCUCCUGGGACUGACUAGUGAUUCCUACUUUCAUUGAGUGUUCUUGAUUACUGAAAUUCUGAAACUGGCUUCUCAGGGUCUUUUGUUUCCUCAUAAAAGAUGAGCAAGUUUACUCAACCUCUAAAAUAAACAUGUCAUCGUCAUUAUCGUUCCUUCUUACAAAAUGUUGUUAGAUACAACAGCCCAGCAUAGGCAGUGUAUGUCACCCACAUAUAAUCUUGACUUAUUUGCCUCUUGAAAAAAUGCCAAAUUCAGGUCAAGUGGAAAUGGUAAAGAAAAGAUAAGAGUUUUCUUCAAUAAGCAUCACCCUCAGAUUUACUAGGAAAAC